rnacentral:lncRNA from 1 species
GCGGAGGGCCAGAGCCCCCCCCCCACCCCCGAGCUCUGCACUUCAGACUCCAAAUCCCGCCUCGGGGUGAGCGUUAGCUUCUCCUGCCCCGUCAGCCUGCGGGAGAAGAGGGUGGUUUAAGGGACAGAAUCACUAGGGCCUGGCACGAUGAGCCUCUAAGCAAGAGCGGGAUUUUGGGAAGGAGUUGGGGAUGGGCUACAUAGGCUCUGCUCUGGCAGCGCGACGGGGCGGCUGCAGGAGGCGAGACGUGGCGCGGGGAGACGCGGCGCGGGGGCAUGGCGCAGACCUGGACGCAGGUUCCCACGGAGGACGGCACCUCCGGCUGAGACCAGGGCUUUCCCUGUUUCCAGCGGUAACAGAUAAACCUUUGCUCCUGGAAGAGGGACUGUAAUGCAGCCCAUGGCAGCAAAGUCUCUUAAAAGCCAGUCUCGUUGCUGUUAUGUUAAUUAUUAAUAGGAUGUGGGGAAGAAAGCACUGGAAAACCCCAACGGUUUGAGUCAAGCUGCUACUUCAUCUGCGCCCAGCAGAGCGGACCUGGCUUUCCCCUGGCUGUAGGGGAGAUUCCCAGGUGCCUUUUCCUGUGGCUUAGGCCCACGUGUCAGGGACGCAAGUACAGCGGUUAACAGAGAGGCUCUGAAACCCAGGGCCGUCAGAGAAACUGGGAAGCUAGAUGAGCUGUGUGGGUCUUGGCUUCAUCUUUAGCAAAGACGUACCCCCCGAAGGGAUGAAAUCCGUCUUGGCAGAAUCUCCUGUUAGCACGAUGCUGGGAUCGCAGCAGCCACCAGGACCCAGGCACUGGUGCCUGCUGGGCCGUCCCAGCCCGGGGAGCCCUGCCGAGCUGCCUGGGCAGGAUGGGACCUCGAGAUGGUGCUUGAAAUGCAAGAGCAAAGCCCAGCGCGCGGCUGAUGGGAAUGCCUGGCCGUUAGACCUGGAGGCUGUGCGUUUUGGAAAGGGGCUGUACCUCCACCGCUAGUGCUAUGGUGUGAAUGAGGUUGGCAGCUCAACUGUGAUGAGCCUGUCAGGGCUCAGCUCCCUGAAGACAGGGCAGCAGGAGCCUGGUGUGGUUUGGGAGCAGGGAAGCUGAGCAUGGGUUGAUUCACUUCUUUCUAGGGUGGGGAAGGACUGGGUCAUCGCCUGACGGCUGCUGGAGGCACCUCGGAUCCCAUGGGAAUGGCUGCGCUUGCCUUGGUUUGCUGGGUGGGUGCAGGAUAGGUGCAGCAUGAGUGCUAAGUGAGAGCAGGCUAGUGCAGGCUCUGGGGUCCAGAAAGGGUGCAGGGUGGGUGCUAGGUGGGUGCAAGGUGGUGGAGGCUGGGUGGUGCAGGUUGGGUGCCGGGUGGGUGCAAGGUGGUGGAGGCUGGGUGGU